AAGCUCUAGAAAGUUUUUAAUUAAGUUUGCAUCAGAUUUGCAGUAGUACGUGAGUACGUCAUAUACUCUUAUGCAUCAUCUGCCAAGACAAUUCAAAGGCUUGAGACAAUGCUUCAUACUCCCUACGUUUGUCCUACAAUUUUUUUUUUUCUUUCCAUUCUUUUCUAUAUAUAUCAUACUACUCUUUUCCAUUCUUUCCGUUCAUAUACUCUUCUCAUAUCUGAUCUCAUCAUCUUUUUCUUUUGUUCGUCUGCUUUUCUUUUUUCUGUGUGUUUUGUUUCUUCUUUUGAGUUGCUGCCUCUUUUUCACCAAAAAAAAAAAUCAUUACUUUUAUCUCGUAAAGGCGUAAAGCUAGAAUAAAAAGAGAUAAGUUAUAGAAUUGACUCAUUAAGCCAUGAGUAAAUCUAAGAUUCAUAUGUAGUGAAGCACAAGUUUAUUAGCUAUUCAAGUGGGAAGUUUGAGACAUUACAUCCAUUAUACUUGCUAUAUUGCUCGAUCAACAAAGAAGUACCUCGUGAUGUUUGUACUACAAAACAUUAUGAAGAAGAUACAUGGUCGUGCUCCACGGGGUCCUACAUGGAAAUCACCUAUGUGCCCAAAACAAGAUAAUGGAGUUGAUUGUGGAUUAUACGUGAUGAGAUUCAUGCUUGACAUAGCGACUCAUUGUUCCAACACCAUACAUCUUGAUGAGUUUUUCAAGGUGCAAAAGGGAGAUCCUUUAACAAGCAAGGAGCUUAAUGAAGUUCGAGACAUGUUGGCAUCUUUCAUCACCUUCAAUUUGUAAAUGUGGCAUCAUUUUGAAUUUAUACUUUGUUAAUUAUUAACGUUUAAACUACAAUAUUGACUUGUUAUUAGUAUUGUUUGUAUUUAUUUAUAUGUCACACUUUAUUUAAUUUGUUGUAUUGCAUUUGGUUUUUAAUUAUAAAAGUAGUCUAAAUAUAUAUUUUUAAUUCUUGUUAUGAUUAUUAAUAAUAAUUAUAUUAUGGCAGAAUUUAUAGCAAUAAUAUGGCAGAACAUUAUAGCAGGAUCAGUUGCAGGAAUAAUUGCAGGGAAAAAAAAAAAAAAAAUUAGAUCCUUUUAUUGCCACCGGUUUACCA